rnacentral:rRNA from 1 species
UGGGGGAUAUUGCACAAUGGGCGCAAGCCUGAUGCAGCGACGCCGCGUGGGGGAUGAAGGCCUUCGGGUUGUAAACUUCUUUUGCUCUGAACAAGGCGCACUUUGGGGUGUGGUGAGUGUAGGGGUUGAUUAGCGCCGGCUAACUACGUGCCAGCAGCCGCGGUAAUACGUAGGGCGCGAGCGUUGUCCGGAAUUAUUGGGCGUAAAGGGCUUGUAGGUGGCUGGUUGCGUCUGUCGUGAAAGCUCAUGGCUUAACUGUGGGUUUGCGGUGGGUACGGGCUGGCUUGAGUGCAGUAGGGGAGGCUGGAAUUCCUGGUGUAGCGGUGGAAUGCGCAGAUAUCAGGAGGAAUACCGGUGGCGAAGGCGGGUCUCUGGGCUGUUACUGACACUGAGGAGCGAAAGCAUGGGGAGCGAACAGG